rnacentral:rRNA from 1 species
GAGUUUGAUUAUGGCUCAGGAUGAACGCUGACAGAAUGCUUAACACAUGCAAGUCAACUUGAACGUGGGUUUUUAACUUAGGUUUGGGUGGCGGACGGGUGAGUAACGCGUAAAGAACUUGCCUCACAGAUAGGGACAACAUUUAGAAAUGAAUGCUAAUACCUAAUAUUAUGAAAAUAGGGCAUCCUAUAAUUAUGAAAGCUAAAUGCGCUGUGAGAGAGCUUUGCGUCCCAUUAGCUAGUUGGAGAGGUAACGGCUCACCAAGGCGAUGAUGGGUAGCCGGCCUGAGAGGGUGAACGGCCACAAGGGGACUGAGACACGGCCCUUACUCCUACGGGAGGCAGCAGUGGGGAAUAUUGGACAAUGGACCAAGAGUCUGAUCCAGCAAUUCUGUGUGCACGAUGAAGUUUUUCGGAAUGUAAAGUGCUUUUCAGUUGGGAAGAAAAGAAUGACGUACCACNNAGAG